rnacentral:rRNA from 1 species
GUGCCAGCAGCCGCGGUAAUACGGAGGGUGCAAGCGUUGUUCGGAAUUACUGGGCGUAAAGGGCGCGUAGGUGGUUGUGUAAGUCAGAUGUGAAAUCCUUAGGCUUAACCUGAGAACUGCAUCUGAUACUGCAUGACUCGAGUACAGCAGAGGGAAACGGAAUUCCUGGUGUAGAGGUGAAAUUCGUAGAUAUCAGGAGGAACACCGGUGGCGAAGGCGGUUUCCUGGGCUGAUACUGACACUGAGGCGCGAAAGCGUGGGGAGCAAACAGGAUUAGAUACCCUGGUAGUCCACGCUGUAAACGGUGAGUGCUGGGUGUGGGAGGUGUAAUGCCUUCUGUGCCGAAGCUAACGCGUUAAGCACUCCGCCUGGGGAGUACGGCCGCAAGGUUGAA